CUGCUGCUGCUGCUCCUGCUGCUGCUGCUGGUGCUGCAGGGGGAGCAGCAGCAGCAGCAGCAGCAGCAGCAGCAGCAGCAGUUGGAAGCAGCACUGCCUCAGGCAACAGUACAGCAGCAGCAAGU
rnacentral:snoRNA from 1 species